GGCCGGUUGGCUCAGUCAGUUGAGCAUGGCGCUAACAAAACCAAGGUCGCGGGUUCAAUUCCCGUUCGGUCC
rnacentral:tRNA from 1 species